AAACAAAGCUUCCAGCAGAGGUACAAAUCACAGCUGAGCAAUUGCUCAGGGAGGCAAAGAGAGAGAGCUCGAGCUUUUUGCCACCGCCGCCCAAACAGAAAAUCACUGAUGAAGAAGAGUUGAACGAUUACAAGUUGAAGAAGCGGAAGGGAUUUGAAGACAACAUCAGAAAGAAUCGUACUGUUAUCAGCAACUGG